UUAGCCCUGCAAGUUGCGAAGUCUCAAGUGCCACUUGAGAUUCGAAAGAUUUUCAUAGCAACUGUGGGGCUAU
rnacentral:ncRNA from 1 species